GAUCAUGGCUCAGGAUGAACGCUAGCUACAGGCUUAACACAUGCAAGUCGAGGGGAAACGACAUCGAAAGCUUGCUUUUGAUGGGCGUCGACCGGCGCACGGGUGAGUAACGCGUAUCCAACCUGCCUGGAAAUAAGGAAUAAUCCGUGGAAACGCGGUCUAAUGCCUUAUGUGCUCCGAUGAGGACAUCUGAAUUGGAGUAAAGAUUUAUUGUUUUCGGAUGGGGAUGCGUCUGAUUAGGCAGUAGGCGGGGCAACGGCCCACCUAACCGACGAUCAGUAGGGGUUCUGAGAGGAAGGUCCCCCACAUUGGAACUGAGACACGGUCCAAACUCCUACGGGAGGCAGCAGUGAGGAAUAUUGGUCAAUGGGCGAGAGCCUGAACCAGCCAAGUAGCGUGCAGGAAGACGGCCCUAUGGGUUGUAAACUGCUUUUAUGCGGGGAUAAAGUCAACUACGUGUAGUUGUUUGCAGGUACCGCAAGAAUAAGGACCGGCUAAUUCCGUG
rnacentral:rRNA from 1 species